rnacentral:rRNA from 1 species
CAGCAGCCGCGGUAAUACGAAGGGUGCAAGCGUUAAUCGGAAUUACUGGGCGUAAAGCGUGCGCAGGCGGUUGUGUAAGACAGGUGUGAAAUCCCCGGGCUUAACCUGGGAACUGCGCUUGUGACUGCACAGCUAGAGUAUGGCAGAGGGGGGUGGAAUUCCACGUGUAGCAGUGAAAUGCGUAGAGAUGUGGAGGAACACCGAUGGCGAAGGCAGCCCCCUGGGCCAAUACUGACGCUCAUGCACGAAAGCGUGGGGAGCAAACAGGAUUAGAUACCCCUGUAGUCCCUGUCUCUUAUAC